AUUGAACGCUGGCGGCAUGCCUUACACAUGCAAGUCGAACGGCAGCACGGGAGCAAUCCUGGUGGCGAGUGGCGAACGGGUGAGUAAUAUAUCGGAACGUGCCCAGUCGUGGGGAUAACGUAGCGAAAGCUACGCUAAUACCGCAUACGAUCUAUGGAUGAAAGCGGGGGAUCGCAAGACCUCGCGCGAUUGGAGCGGCCGAUAUCAGAUUAGGUAGUUGGUGAGGUAAAGGCUCACCAAGCCGACGAUCUGUAGCUGGUCUGAGAGGACGACCAGCCACACUGGGACUGAGACACGGCCCAGACUCCUACGGGAGGCAGCAGUGGGGAAUAUUGGACAAUGGGCGAAAGCCUGAUCCAGCAAUGCCGCGUGAGUGAUGAAGGCCUUAGGGUUGUAAAGCUCUUUUACCCGGGAUGAUAAUGACAGUACCGGGAGAAUAAGCUCCGGCUAACUCCGUGCCAGCAGCCGCGGU
rnacentral:rRNA from 1 species